rnacentral:rRNA from 1 species
CAGUAGCCGCGGUAAUACCGAGGGUGCAAGCGUUAAUCGGAAUUACUGGGCGUAAAGCGCGCGUAGGUGGUUUGUUAAGUUGGAUGUGAAAUCCCCGGGCUCAACCUGGGAACUGCAUCCAAAACUGGCAAGCUAGAGUAUGGUAGAGGGUGGUGGAAUUUCCUGUGUAGCGGUGAAAUGCGUAGAUAUAGGAAGGAACACCAGUGGCGAAGGCGACCACCUGGACUGAUACUGACACUGAGGUGCGAAAGCGUGGGGAGCAAACAGGAUUAGAUACCCCAGUAGUCCCUGUCUCUUAUAC